AGGGUGUAAACGCUGCAGACUUGGUGUUGGAAGUCCUUUGGGGGCAUUCAGUGCCGGAGAGAAGUUGUUAAGUCUGCUACUUGGGGAGUACGUCCGCAAGGAUGAAACUUAAAGGAAUUGGCGGGGGAGGCACCGCAACGGGAGGAGCGUGCGGUUUAAUUGGAUUCAACACCGUAAAACUCACCAGGGAAGACUGUUACAUGAAAGCCGAGAUGAAGACUCUGCUAGAUUUUCAGAGAGGAGGUGCAUGGCGUCAGUGACU
rnacentral:rRNA from 1 species